rnacentral:lncRNA from 1 species
GAGUGCGUGGAGGGUAAAAGCCAGUCAGUCAGUGAGAAGCAAAGAUCAACCACCUCAGAAGAGCCAGAUUCCACUUCUGUGGCCAGGACUUUUACAUUAUGGCUGGUCCGAUUGUUUUACCCUGCGUUCUAUGCUACUAAACCUUGGAUCAUUCCUAAAGUACAAAUUCUGUUCUCGAACCACAAACAAGGCUAAAAGAUCGGAGGAAAUUCAGUGAAUAUACAGGAUUGGGGUUGUGUAUUUUUAAAAGUAUUGAGCUUUAUAAUGUAAUUAUUCAAGAAAUAGAAUCAUGGUUUUUUUAUGAUGUUGCCAGCAUUUUAAAUUACAUGUUUAUUAAGUGGCAUUGCUCAAAUAACUACAGAGUAUGCGUGGAAAUAUUUGCUGUCUGAAUAGUUUGGAGAUUCAAAGAGAAAAAUCAAGCUUCAGAGGUGUCUGAUGAUUUGUGAGCCUCAAGUGACUACUCUGUGGAAUCAUCUGUCCUUGCCUUUGAAUUAGCUUUCCCUAGGCCAUGAGUCAACAUUAGUAGUUUAUACAUCCAAAUUGAUGACAAGAGCACCUCAAAGGCAGCAGCCUCAAGGAGCAGCCAUGGCCCCAGACUUGUCGCACGGAUGCAGAAAACUUAAUGGAGGAGGCUGAGGUCAGAAUGGGAAGAGUUUUUAAAAAAUAAAAAGGGGAGCUAAUAUGUGAGGAACUGAUUGCUGUGCAUUAUUUUCCACUGAACAGACCUUCUUUUAACUUCUAAUCUCAAGCACAUAGCAGCUGUUGUUUUCAUAUUAAAGAUCAGUAAGUGUUUGUUGAAUGAAUGUAUAAAUUCUUCCCCAAUCUCUGUUCCAUGUAAUAAGAACUAAGUUAGCAUUCAAUUAUAAAGAGGACUUAGAAA